GCAUCCCAUAGGAGUUGGAAACUGAAGCACGGUAGAGAAAUUCAUCAUGGGAGGGAGGAGCUGAAAACCUGAGGUCAUGGGAUACAAAGAGAAGCAGGAAAAUGGUCUCAGGAAAGAAAGUCAUCUCUGUCACUGAAGGAUUCACAGUCUACAAAAGGAGACAGGCAUUUAAACAGAUAAUUGCAGCAAUAUAAAAAGCAGCACCAGAGAGAGGUGUAUACAAUUACGUGGGAAUGAAAAGAGGGAGCAGUUCACUCCGGCUGGGAUUGGGGAAGAUGACAUUUGACCUUAGCUAAAGAUGACCUUAUCCCCCGUAAGGACGUGGGAUGGGAAACAUCCCAAGGAGAAGAAGCGGCAUCUGCAAAGCAGAAAAGCUGCAAAGUUAAAAAGAAAGAAAAAGGCUCUUAAAAGAACUGUUCUGGGGUUGCACCAAUGAUCCUGAACAAGAGGCACAGUUUCAAGCUCAAGUUUACUGCAGUUAGUGAAGAAACGGCUACCUGAGCCAAACUACAAGGACACGUUACCUCUCUCUUCUCUUCACCCCAUAAAACUACAAUUGUGCUUUGAUUCAGAUGAUUUACUCUGGGGGAUGCAAGUUACCAUACCUUGUCACAAGGACUAAGGCAGCCCUAUGGAGAAAACUCCAGGCCUCCCACUGAUACCCAUCACAGACCUGCCAUCUCUGAAUGUGCCACCUUCACACAAGACCCUCCAGCUGCAAGCAAGCCUUCCAGAUAACUGCAGCCCCAUCUGACAUCUGGCCUGAACCUCUGAGAAAGCAUGAGUCAGAACCACACCCAAGUUCCUCAUCCAAAGAGACUAUGGGAAAUAAGAUCUGUCUGUUGUUUUAAACCACUUAGUGUUGGGAUAAUAUAUACUUAGAAAUAGAUCAUGAAUAAGCCCCAUUUCUGCUAUCAUUUUCUGUUAUGCCCCUUUUCAUGUCGGCUUAGUCUCUAAGCAUACUUCCCUCAUUGGGGUGAAAUGGUUGUAUUAGUUUCAGGUCCAACAAACAUACACCACACUGUCCAUGAGGUGAGAAUGCACAGAUAUAUCAGAAUUCCCAGCAAAUGUCUUGAGCUUCUGACAAAUUGAGCCACCCCUGACCCAAUCUCUGAGGUUAGGGGAAGGUUAUAUGCUGACUGAGACAGCCCUGGGUUACCUGAACUAUGACAAGGAGGAUGAGUUUAAUGCAAACCACCUGACUAUUACACACACCUCCCUGGGGGUCCUUUCCAGGAACCUUAGGCUUUAGAAGACAAAAGCAAUAAAAAGGAUUUGCCAUCAAGUGAUGGAUACUUUCCAUUGCCAACUCUCCCUGAGGCAAAGGGAAAAAAAAAACUGGCUUCUUUUUUUGUCAUGGGGGGUGGAGAAUAAAUAAAAUAGAAAUAACUAUCUCAAUAAAUUAACUUGCUAUGUAUUUUAGUGAGUCUCUGGUGACUCCUAAAUUUAUAUCUUUAUCCUAGAACAUCUCUCAACCUCCAGAGUCACGUAUACAAUUGCCUCUUGACGUUUCUACUUUGGUAUCUACAGACAUCUCAAACUAAACAUAGCCAAUUGGAGACCCUGAUUCUUUCCCACAAACAUGCUGACACUCCAUAUCCAAUCCAAAGGGAAAUCAUGCUAGCCCUGCCUUCAGAAUAUGUCUAGAAUCCCUCCACUUCUCACAGCUUCCUGUCAUCUAUGGGUCACCAUCAUCUCUCGCCUCUAUUACUGCCUCCUAGCUAGUUUCCUUUGCUUACUAACAGGGAAAGGUGAUCCUCUGAAAACCCGACCCUCACCACUCACAUACCCUCUCCUAACUCUGUUCUAGAUGCACUGCCUUGUUUACCUUCAAAUGUGCCAGGACCCUUCCUACCUGGUCAUUAUUUUACCUUCUUCAAGUCUUGGCCUAAAUCUCACAUUCUCAACAAAGGCAUUCCUGCACUGUCAGAUUUAACAUUGGGACCUGCAUGGCUCCAUCCCGCCCUUCUUCCUGCCCUGUCAAGUUCCUCUUACCCAAUCAUAUUAAUAUUUUCAUUUUUUCAUAGCAUUUCUCAUCUUCUAUAUAAUUUACUUAUUAAUUAUACUUACUGCCAUCCCCUUCACCAUGCAUGUUCCACAAGAACAGGGAUCCAUGCUUAUCUUUUCCACUGCUGCCAAGAACAGUGCCUGAGGACUUGGAACCUUAGAGUGUAUGCUCAGUAAGGAUUUGUUGAGUGAAUGAUUGGCUGGUUAGCUAGCUGAUGCUCACACCAACCCCAUGAUGUGGGGAUCCCUUCUGCCUCCAUUUGCUGAGAGGUUCAGUAACUUGUUGGAAAUCACAAAGCAAGAGGAUGAGGAGCUGAGAUGAAAGCCCAGCCCACAUUCUUCACCACAGACCCUUCCUGCAGCAGCUCUUAUAGAAUUUCUAAUAAUUAGUCCCCUCCUUUUCUCUCAACCUUAACUUGGAAUAUAAUUAUGGAAAUUUUUUUUUAUCACAGCAGAUUUCAUUAAGUUAAAGAAAAUGUAAAAAUUGUGAAGAAGGCCUGAAGCUAGGAAUGCUAUCAGGGAAAUGAAGCUCUUAACCUAUGUGAUUUGACAUCUGGGAAAUAUAUUUAGUAAUCACUUUUGUCUUAAAAUAUCUAACAAUGUCUUAAGAAAAUGUCUUUCUCCUAAUUGUUUUGGUCUUUACCUAGGUGUAUUGAACCUGUGCCCCCAACCUCUGCUCC